GGGAAGUGAUAAGUGCAAAGGUGGGUGCUCCUGGAUUGUGCUGCCACUCAAGUGCUCAAUCAGCUCUGCUUCCUGAGCAGAUUACAAAACAAGGCUCACCUGCUUUGCUGUGUUGGACCCUGCCUGACUCACAAGGAGGCUGAGGAGCUCAUCUUCUGUGGAUGCCUCCUCUCCCCAUCCUGCAACAGGAGCCCAAGGCAGCAAUAUUUCAGGAGCUAUGGAGCUAUGGAGCAGCAGAAUAAAUCUGGCUUCCCCUGCUUUCAUCAGCUGCUCUGUUUAACAGCUGACCGGUGCUGAGACAUCACUCAGAAGCCCUUCAUGGAGCUUGAGAGCUAUUGACAAGCAUAGAAACUGCAUUCUCAUAAUAGUUUAAAAAAGACAACCAUUGGAACUUGAGAUCCCCACAAGCGUGAACUGAUUGCCGUUCUGAUCCAAUGUAUGAAGCAGGUGUCAUGAAUCUCACAGACGUCUGAGUCACUGGUGCACAUAGCAGAAAUGAAGUAUCAUACAGCUGUGAAUUGAGCAUCCCAGGAAUAUGUGAGCUCGUUCUUACUUCAACUCCUGCCUUUUUUCAGUAUUUUCUCUUUACAUCAACUCUUGCUUUUUACUUAGAAUUGGUCUCAAAUAUUUCUUACCAAUAUUCUGAAAUCCUAACAUAUCUGAAACACUUCCAGGUUUCAUGUAUUUUUUCGAAUACAUGGAUUUUUAUGGGCUUUAGCGCUGUAAACUGCUGAAUGCCAAGAAAAGGCUGGAUAAUAAAUUUGAAUGAGCGAAUGUUUCAGUUUUUUAAGGGAAAAUGUCACUUUCAAGGUCAUUACUGAUUAAGCAGAUCAUAUGGAAACAUGAAGAAUAGAUACAGGUUUUUUGUUAUAUUAGCCAUCCUAUUAGUACUCACUGUCAAGUGUUAUAGGGUGUACACAAGUGUGCACUCUGGAUCCUUGGCACAUGUAGACAGCUCUGGGCUGGGAGGAUGGAGCAUAUCAUAUCUCAUCUCUAUCAGUGGUAUAGUGGUAAAUAUUGAAAUCCAGGAGCACAUCGUGACAGCCCCUAUAGUCACAAGACGGUGGAUUCCCCUAGGUUCCUAGCUAGACCAAAGACAAAAAAUCAAGUUUUACUAUUGCUUGUGGUGGAGACUGCAUUCCUGUGCAUAGUUAUCUGGGACUAAGCUCCAUUGAACUCAGUACUAACUUCUGACUUCUUUAGAUUCAACCAGUAAAGCACAUUAAGUUUUAACAAAAUAU